rnacentral:misc_RNA from 1 species
AACGCACAUUGCGCCCUCCGGUAUUCCGGGGGGCAUGCCUGUUCGAGCGUCAUUACAACCCUCAAGCUUUGCUUGGUAUUGGGUGCUACCGUUUUGGUACACCUUAAAAUCAGUGGCGGUGCCACCCGGCUUCUAGCGUAGUAAUACUCCUCGCUAUGGAGAUGGGCGUGUACUUGCCAUAACCCCCAAUUUUUUAAGGUUGACCUCGGAUCAGGUAGGGAUACCCGCUGAACUUAA